AUUCAUUCUGCAACAUCAAACUCAAAGAAUAAAUACAAACAGUAUCUUAAGAGUUGGAAUUUCUUUUAGAACGCUCUUGAUUCGAUCAGCCUACAACUAAAAUUGCAAAAAUAACACUAGGCCUUGUUUAAUGAGUAAGAACAGAAUCAAGCUUCUAGUUGCAUUACAGUAACUAGCAUUACCCAAUUGGAAAUAGAGACGGAAAUUAAUUGUCUACUAAUCAAACUUUUAAGAUAUGGAAUGAGGUAAAGGAGAUGCUUUCUAUUCUUUCUUCCUGGAAUCCUUCAGCUGCCCUCUCCUUCGAAUUCCAAUGCAGAAGUUCAGACGCCAAGCAUCAACCAUCGACUCUGGCAAUGAACAUAGAACACCCCACAGAAGAGAAUGGGGCCAGUAAGGU
rnacentral:misc_RNA from 1 species